rnacentral:rRNA from 1 species
UUUGGUUAAGUUAGAAAGGGCGCACGGUGGAUGCCUUGACACUAGGAGUCGAUGAAGGACGGGACUAACGCCGAUAUGCUUCGGGGAGCUGUAAGUAAGCUUUGAUCCGAAGAUUUCCGAAUGGGGAAACCCACCAUACGUAAUGGUAUGGUAUCCUUAUCUGAAUACAUAGGGUAAGGAAGACAGACCCAGGGAACUGAAACAUCUAAGUACCUGGAGGAAGAGAAAGCAAAUGCGAUUUCCUGAGUAGCGGCGAGCGAAACGGAACAUAGCCCAAACCAAGAGGCUUGCCUCUUGGGGUUGUAGGACAUUCUAUACGGAGUUACAAAGGAACGAGGUAGACGAAGCGACCUGGAAAGGUCCGUCGUAGAGGGUAACAACCCCGUAGUCGAAACUUCGUUCUCUCUUGAAUGUAUCCUGAGUACGGCGGAACACGUGAAAUUCCGUCGGAAUCUGGGAGGACCAUCUCCUAAGGCUAAAUACUCCCUAGUGAUCGAUAGUGAACCAGUACCGUGAGGGAAAGGUGAAAAGCACCCCGGAAGGGGAGUGAAAGAGAUCCUGAAACCGUGUGCCUACAAAUAGUCAGAGCCCGUUAACGGGUGAUGGCGUGCCUUUUGUAGAAUGAACCGGCGAGUUACGAUCCCGUGCGAGGUUAAGCUGAAGAGGCGGAGCCGCAGCGAAAGCGAGUCUGAAUAGGGCGUUUAGUACGUGGUCGUAGACCCGAAACCAGGUGAUCUACCCAUGUCCAGGGUGAAGUUCAGGUAACACUGAAUGGAGGCCCGAACCCACGCACGUUGAAAAGUGCGGGGAUGAGGUGUGGGUAGCGGAGAAAUUCCAAUCGAACCUGGAGAUAGCUGGUUCUCCCCGAAAUAGCUUUAGGGCUAGCCUUAAGUGUAAGAGUCUUGGAGGUAGAGCACUGAUUGGACUAGGGGUCCUCAUCGGAUUACCGAAUUCAGUCAAACUCCGAAUGCCAAUGACUUAUCCUUAGGAGUCAGACUGCGAGUGAUAAGAUCCGUAGUCAAAAGGGAAACAGCCCAGACCGCCAGCUAAGGUCCCAAAGUGUGUAUUAAGUGGAAAAGGAUGUGGAGUUGCUUAGACAACUAGGAUGUUGGCUUAGAAGCAGCCACCAUUUAAAGAGUGCGUAAUAGCUCACUAGUCGAGUGACUCUGCGCCGAAAAUGUACCGGGGCUAAAUACACCACCGAAGCUGCGGAUUGAUACCAAUGGUAUCAGUGGUAGGGGAGCGUUCUAAGGACAGUGAAGUCAGACCGGAAGGACUGGUGGAGUGCUUAGAAGUGAGAAUGCCGGUAUGAGUAGCGAAAGACGGGUGAGAAUCCCGUCCACCGAAUGCCUAAGGUUUCCUGAGGAAGGCUCGUCCGCUCAGGGUUAGUCAGGACCUAAGCCGAGGCCGACAGGCGUAGGCGAUGGACAACAGGUUGAUAUUCCUGUACCACCUCUUUAUCGUUUGAGCAAUGGAGGGACGCAGAAGGAUAGAAGAAGCGUGCGAUUGGUUGUGCACGUCCAAGCAGUUAGGCUGAUAAGUAGGCAAAUCCGCUUAUCGUGAAGGCUGAGCUGUGAUGGGGAAGCUCCUUAUGGAGCGAAGUCUUUGAUUCCCCGCUGCCAAGAAAAGCUUCUAGCGAGAUAAAAGGUGCCUGUACCGCAAACCGACACAGGUAGGCGAGGAGAGAAUCCUAAGGUGUGCGAGAGAACUCUGGUUAAGGAACUCGGCAAAAUGACCCCGUAACUUCGGGAGAAGGGGUGCUUUCUUAACGGAAAGCCGCAGUGAAUAGGCCCAAGCGACUGUUUAGCAAAAACACAGCUCUCUGCGAAGCCGUAAGGCGAAGUAUAGGGGGUGACACCUGCCCGGUGCUGGAAGGUUAAGGAGAGGGGUUAGCGUAAGCGAAGCUCUGAACUGAAGCCCCAGUAAACGGCGGCCGUAACUAUAACGGUCCUAAGGUAGCGAAAUUCCUUGUCGGGUAAGUUCCGACCCGCACGAAAGGUGUAACGAUUUGGGCACUGUCUCAACCAGAGACUCGGUGAAAUUAUAGUACCUGUGAAGAUGCAGGUUACCCGCGACAGGACGGAAAGACCCCGUGGAGCUUUACUGUAGCCUGAUAUUGAAUUUUGGUACAGUUUGUACAGGAUAGGCGGGAGCCUUUGAAACCGGAGCGCUAGCUUCGGUGGAGGCGCUGGUGGGAUACCGCCCUGACUGUAUUGAAAUUCUAACCUACGGGUCUUAUCGACCCGGGAGACAGUGUCAGGUGGGCAGUUUGACUGGGGCGGUCGCCUCCUAAAGUGUAACGGAGGCGCCCAAAGGUUCCCUCAGAAUGGUUGGAAAUCAUUCGUAGAGUGCAAAGGCAUAAGGGAGCUUGACUGCGAGACCUACAAGUCGAGCAGGGACGAAAGUCGGGCUUAGUGAUCCGGUGGUUCCGCAUGGAAGGGCCAUCGCUCAACGGAUAAAAGCUACCCCGGGGAUAACAGGCUUAUCUCCCCCAAGAGUCCACAUCGACGGGGAGGUUUGGCACCUCGAUGUCGGCUCAUCGCAUCCUGGGGCUGUAGUCGGUCCCAAGGGUUGGGCUGUUCGCCCAUUAAAGCGGUACGCGAGCUGGGUUCAGAACGUCGUGAGACAGUUCGGUCCCUAUCCGUCGUGGGCGUAGGAAAUUUGAGAGGAGCUGUCCUUAGUACGAGAGGACCGGGAUGGACGCACCGCUGGUGUACCAGUUGUUCUGCCAAGGGCAUAGCUGGGUAGCUAUGUGCGGAAGGGAUAAGUGCUGAAAGCAUCUAAGCAUGAAGCCCCCCUCAAGAUGAGAUUUCCCAUAGCGUAAGCUAGUAAGAUCCCUGAAAGAUGAUCAGGUUGAUAGGUUCGAGGUGGAAGCAUGGUGACAUGUGGAGCUGACGAAUACUAAUAGAUCGAGGACUUAACCAUAUAA